rnacentral:siRNA from 1 species
UAACCUAUCUCUUAUUGUGCC